UCGUGUCUUCCAACCUGUAAGCCAAGAUUUCCUUCCAGUGGACAUCAGGCUAUCUGAGACAAGAAACUCAUACUAAGAAGAGAGCCAUAUAAUUUGAAGUUCACAAAGAUGGUGAUCAACAAGCCAGCAGAAUUAUAGAUGGAGCUGUUCUGUGGUGUUUGAAAUGUGUCCAUGCAUUUCCUGCAUAAUUGGAUCCUACCUCAUUAAGGGAAAAUUUUCUUGGAAAGAUGUGAUGCCAGUUCAAAUGUCGUUCCUCAGUGCCACAAAAUAAUGUGGCUGCUCCACAAGAAUAGAGAUCCUGCAGAGCAAGCAGUGUCAGGACUGUUUUGAGAGUGAGAGCACUGCUAAGAUGAGACUUCUGUCGAGAGAAAAACGGAAAGCAUAAUUUUUGCUUAAAGGCAAGAAUAUAUAAUGGCAUUUUCCCCCUUUAAUCUGAAACCUGGAGAGGAAAAACAACAGCAUUUUGAAAAAGAGAAUGGACAAAGAGGAGUGAGAAUAACUGGCAGUGGUGAGAUGUUUUCACGACAAGGAUAAAUAGUAAGCUGAGGAAGACCACAGAAUGUGGCUUGGAGAUGCCUUGAAUAGGCUUUCUUCAAAGUGUUUAUUUCUUUAUUUCUCUUAAUUCCUUCAGAUUUAUACCUGUGUGUUUUGAUUUACUGGCAAAAAAAAAAAAGACUGUAGAAGCCAAACCCUCAUUGUGCUCUAAACUCUUCUCACUACAUUGCUGUUUGGGGAAGAGUGUGUUGCCCUCACAUAACUGUGUAGAACUGACUUGCAGUUACCUCUGUAUCCCUGACAAUUCCCUUGAGCACAGACAUAGUCUGUGAAAACUGUGGAUGUUUCCUGUGAUAAAACUUCAAAAUUCCACUUGGGGUCUAUGAAGCAAUAUUUAAUUUCAAGAAAUUGAAACACUUCAUUCAGAUUUGGACUCUUUUCAUUUUAUGUUAUUAUGAUACGAAAAAUAGUGGAAACAGAAGAAUGUCAGCAGGGGAAACUAGUAUCCUUCUAUUUUCUGUGCUUCAAUAUACACCUUAAAUAAUUAUUGCAUGAGGGUUUUUUGUUUGUAGGGGGCAUAUAGGGGGUUUUUGGGUGUUUUAUUUGGGGAGGUGUUUGUUUCACAUUUCUAAUGGACUUUGCAGUGCAGACAUGUAUUUCUGUGUCUGGGGAUCUGUGAAAAAUGAUUCUCGAAAAAUUAAUUUUCAAACAAUCAUUAUUAUUUUAGUUCAAAAAUGCUGGGUUUUACCCUUGUCAAAACAGGGGGAUUGUGUCAAUGUAAUGCCAAGAUAAGAAUUCUUACUUACUGGAGGACCAGGUGGACCAGGUAACCCACUGUCACCCUUUUGACCAGCAGGACCCUAUAAAGCAACGAAAGAAAUGCAGUGUUGGCCAUGCUACACAAUGUUUAAAAAUAACACACAAAACUUAAGUAAAAGAACAAAAAAUAAGAGAAUUACUCACGCUGGAUCCUUUAGAACCCUUUGGACCCUGGGGACCCUAUGGACAAGAACAUAGAACUAUAGUUGGAGUUUAUUGCACACAAUGUGGAAGUGUUUUGAGCAGGAGGACUGGAUGAAAUUACUUACAGGUAAACCAGGAGGACCAGGGGGUCCAAGUGGACCAGCAGGACCAGAAAUUCCCUAAAAAUGAAUAAGAGAAUAAGCACAGAACUAAAGUAUUCUACAUACUGCAGUGGAUUAA